GAUGAACGCUGGCGGCGUGCCUAAUACAUGCAAGUCGAGCGAACGGACGAGAAGCUUGCUUCUCUGAUGUUAGCGGCGGACGGGUGAGUAACACGUGGAUAACCUACCUAUAAGACUGGGAUAACUUCGGGAAACCGGAGCUAAUACCGGAUGAUAUUUUGAACCGCAUGGUUCAAGUGAAAGACGGUCUUGCUGUCACUUAUAGGUGGAUCCGCGCUGCAUUAGCUAGUUGGUAAGGUAACGGCUUACCAAGGCAACGAUGCAUAGCCGACCUGAGAGGGUGAUCGGCCACACUGGAACUGAGACACGGUCCAGACUCCUACGGGAGGCAGCAGUAGGGAAUCUUCCGCAAUGGGCGAAAGCCUGACGGAGCAACGCCGCGUGAGUGAUGAAGGUCUUCGGAUCGUAAAACUCUGUUAUUAGGGAAGAACAUAUGUGUAAGUAACUGUGCACAUCUUGACGGUACCUAAUCAGAAAGCCACGGCUAACUACGUG
rnacentral:rRNA from 1 species